UAGAGGCAGCGGAAACAGGAACGGAGCCAAGGCUGUGGAGACGGGAGGCGGGAGGGGAAACCCAGCCAGAGCAGCUGGGAGUGGGAAA
rnacentral:sRNA from 1 species